rnacentral:lncRNA from 1 species
AGUUCAUAAAGACGUCUGACCGUACUCCGGAUUUCCAUAAAAGCGCUGGACUACCUUCAAGAAUUCCCAACUCUGGGAUAGAUAGAUCGCCCCGGCAGCUUUCUCAUCCAAUUCUUCUACUUGAGUAAGUACUACCGGGCUUGGAAAUUUCAUUUUUCCCUUUUUUAAGGGUUUGUACGCCUUCCCUUUCUUAGAGUGUUCUGUUGUUCUGAGCUAAGAUGGGGAAUUGCUUCUAUUAUAUUAGAUCCGCCUUUUAGCUUGGCACGUUGAU